GACGAACGCUGGCGGCGUGCUUAACACAUGCAAGUCGAACGGAAAGGCCCUGCUUUUGUGGGGUGCUCGAGUGGCGAACGGGUGAGUAACACGUGAGUAACCUGCCCUUGACUUUGGGAUAACUUCAGGAAACUGGGGCUAAUACCGGAUAGGAGCUCCUGCUGCAUGGUGGGGGUUGGAAAGUUUCGGCGGUUGGGGAUGGACUCGCGGCUUAUCAGCUUGUUGGUGGGGUAGUGGCUUACCAAGGCUUUGACGGGUAGCCGGCCUGAGAGGGUGACCGGCCACAUUGGGACUUAGAUACGGCCCAGACUCCUACGGGAGGCAGCAGUGGGGAAUAUUGCACAAUGGGCGGAAGCCUGAUGCAGCAACGCCGCGUGCGGGAUGACGGCCUUCGGGUUGUAAACCUCUUUCGCCUGUGACGAAGCGUGAGUGACGGUAAUGGGUAAAGAAGCACCGGCUAACUACGUG
rnacentral:rRNA from 1 species